rnacentral:rRNA from 1 species
AUACGUAGGUGGCAAGCGUUGUCCGGAUUUAUUGGGCGUAAAGCGAGUGCAGGCGGUCUUUUAAGUCUGAUGUGAAAGCCCUCGGCUUAACCGAGGAAGCGCAUCGGAAACUGGGAAGCUUGAGUGCAGAAGAGGACAGUGGAACUCCAUGUGUAGCGGUGAAAUGCGUAGAUAUAUGGAAGAACACCAGUGGCGAAGGCGGCUGUCUGGUCUGUAACUGACGCUGAGGCUCGAAAGCAUGGGUAGCGAACAGGAUUAGAUACCCUGGUAGUCUAUGCCGUAAACGAUGAAUGCUAGGUGUUGGAGGGUUUCCGCCCUUCAGUGCCGCAGCUAACGCAUUAAGCAUUCCGCCUGGGGAGUACGACCGCAAGGUUGAA